GGCCUUGUAGUCUAGAGGUACGAUACUUGCUUUGGGCGAUUCCGCGACUGCAAGUGGCCUGGGUUCGAUUCCCAGCAAGGCCC
rnacentral:tRNA from 1 species